AGUGAACGCUGGCGGUAGGCCUAACACAUGCAAGUCGAACGGCAGCACAGUAAGAGCUUGCUCUUACGGGUGGCGAGUGGCGGACGGGUGAGGAAUACAUCGGAAUCUACUUUUUCGUGGGGGAUAACGUAGGGAAACUUACGCUAAUACCGCAUACGACCUACGGGUGAAAGCAGGGGAUCUUCGGACCUUGCGCGAUUGAAUGAGCCGAUGUCGGAUUAGCUAGUUGGCGGGGUAAAGGCCCACCAAGGCGACGAUCCGUAGCUGGUCUGAGAGGAUGAUCAGCCACACUGGAACUGAGACACGGUCCAGACUCCUACGGGAGGCAGCAGUGGGGAAUAUUGGACAAUGGGCGCAAGCCUGAUCCAGCCAUACCGCGUGGGUGAAGAAGGCCUUCGGGUUGCAAAGCCCUUUUGUUGGGAAAGAAAAGCAGCAGGUUAAUACCCCGCUGUUCUGACGGUACCCAAAGAAUAAGCACCGGCUAACCUCGUG
rnacentral:rRNA from 1 species